GACAGAGCUUUUCCCCACAGGGAACUUGUGUUGGCCAAAACCGGAGAUGAACUUUAAAUAGUUAUUUUUCUAUUUGACAGAGAGCAUUGAUGGUCUGCUCUGGAAUUUCAGUGCCUUAUUCAGAUCCCUUUAAUUUCCUUGGAAAGGGGAAUGAAGUUUUUCUGGAGUGAGUGUCCACAGAGGAAGGACUGGCUGAGUGGCAGUGGCUGGGCAAGAAGAGGAACCUUGAUAGUUCCAAAACAGGAAUCUGGCCCAAAGAACAAACCCAGUGUCUGUCUGUCUGUCCCACUCCCCCCACCUCUCUUGGGAUUUCUUGUCAGCAUCUCGGUGUGUGUUCAUUGGGUUUCACUGGGGAAUGGAAGCCCUAAUGAGGCCCUGAGCCCUCCCCAGUCAGGGUCUGACCUGGCAGAUGCUGCCUGUCGAUGACCAGUGACCCACCACCAUUGUGUCCUGCAGCACCAAACCCUUCUCACCAGGCAGCAGAACAUCUCUGAAUGUGUCCAGCCACACUGUCCAGCUUCCCUUUCCCUACUCUUCCUUGGCUGCAGCAGAGCAAGAGCUGCAUCAAAGCAGUGUCCAGUUUCUCUGGGUCCUUCUCUGGACUGAUUCUUUUCCCCCGUAUUUUGAACAUUUGUUUUUUUCCCACAGACCAGGUGAGUAUCAGAGCACACUGUAAUUAACACCUGUGGUGUAAUUGGCACCACAGCCAGCAUUUGCCCUGAGCUCCUCAGUGCCAGCCCAGUGUUUAAUGCCAGUAGGGGUGUGUAGGCCUUGCUGGGGUGUUCCCAGGUAUUCGCCUUCUGCUGUAGGUGAAAACUGUUCCAAUGUUGUCCAGUCAGGUUCUGAUUGUGGAUCGUGGUGAUUGUCAACUGCCAAGGGAUAUUUUUUAAUAAAUCUGGUCAAGGUAUUUCAAAUGAAUCCAGUCUUGCUGUUUUCAGUUUGUCUUGUCCUGGGUAAGCCCACUUUAAAGUUUCUUUUCUCUCUGUGCUUUGUUUCGUGGUCAGGAUGUGUCGUACAACGAUGUUGGGUGUUGAAAGACCCACCCUGUGUGUGGUUAGUUUAUGUGGGGAUGUGUAACAAGAAAAGCCCAAAGAUCUCUCAGGGAGAUGUUUCACAGCUGUUUUGAAAGUCUGGGCUGUGUUUGUCCCCAGUGAGCCUUGGGUGCUCGGCCCAACUGGACAGUGAGGGACACCAGGGCCAACCCGGAGCAGUUCCAUGUCUCUCAUCUACAGCUGCUGCCAGGGAUCUGGCAGCUCAGGCCUGCUGCAGAAUGGGAUCUCUGUUGGAUCCAUUGGCUUCUUCCUCCUCUGGUAGAAAGAGGCUUCAGGAUUGCCCUGUGUGCUGGGAAGGUGAGUGGUACCUGACCACAUGGGUUAUUGGUGUGGGGGUGCUCCCAGGUUCUGUACCACCUGGCUGUGCCACUCUCAGGGUUUCCACUUCUGAGGAACCACCAUCACCUUGGGGGUAAUGGAGAGGUGCUGCAGCACCUGGAGCCAUCUCCCAGUCUGUGACCCGGGGUGGCUGGAAACUGCCUGGCCUUUGCCCUCCUUGCUUAACCAGAGGUGAUAUUUCUGCUCUCCUGUGGAGGUGAGAACUUGCAGGUGACCUCUGGCCCAGGCUUGGCCACAUUUUAGGACCCCAGUGCCCUCCCAGCUCCAGCACUGUGGGAGGUGGGUGUGGAGCACAUCUGCCAGCUCCUGCCCUGGUUCCCCUGGGGUAUCUUUGGGAUCUCCAAUCCAGGUUAUUCCCCCGUUUUCCUGGGGCUGCUCCAGCUCUGUCUGGGUGACAGUCCUGGGCUGCAUCUCUGCCCAGGGAAUGCCCAUCUGCCUCUCCCUGCUGUGCCAUCCACCAUGGCUCCAUCCAAAGACUCUGCCCUGGUCCUGCUUCAGGGGCAGCCCAUGGAGAGGGUGCUCUCACCUGGCUUCCCACAUCAGCCACCGACUUUUCACACCAAAGAGCUUUUCCUUCAUCUCUGGGUCAAAUUUCUUUGGAGCAAUGAAAUCUGCAUCAUUUCUUUGGAGCAAUGAUUUCCCCCUGCUCUCUCUGGGGGGGAAAGCCCACAGCAGUUUGUAUUAAUGGCUACUGCAGUGGCAUGAGGGACAUCGUGUGUCGUGGCUCUGCCAGGGGGACCUGCAGGGCUGUGCUCAGCUUGGCCACAGCAGCUUUGGGUCUCGCUCAUUAAUCACUACUUUGCUUUGGUAACUAAACUUCUGCUGCUUUGUGACGUCAAGCAGCAUUUCUCAUUUCCCAGCCUCACAGAGUUGAUGGGAAUUUAAAAGCUAUAUGCAAAUGAACUUGAUUAGCAUGCUUAAUUAUCUUAUAAACUCAUACCCAUCUGUCCUGCAUAUGCUUUGUACUUGACACUCGAUGGCAAAGUGACCGUGUUGGGCUUGGCACAAGGUGCCUGAGCGAGGGAACCUUUGGGAAGAGCCCGGCUCUGCCUGCAGAGGGGCUGUGGUAGUGCCAGGGGCACACUGGAGGUGAAAUGUCUUUUUUCAAAGGCUGUGUCCAAGCUGGGAGAUGGGAAAUGAUGUGUAGAACAUGUGGCAGAAGGGCACAAUCUUAGGAAUGAUCAAUUAAAUGCAGAAAACCAGCAUGGAAACAAUUGAAAUAAACCCCAAUCUCUGUCCAUUUGCAGCCCAAGAUCCUGGACUGGAUUCUGUGGUGGCACAUGAUGCAUUCCAGAGGGGGGAAGCUGUGCUGCAGUCACAGCACUGGGUGCCUUGAGCUGUCUCAGGGAAUGCUUCUGGCCUUAUUUAAUGUUAUUGAAAAAUUAGCAGAAAAAAUGAGCCUUUACUUCUAGGUUGGUUUGCAAACCCGUGGAUCUGCCUGGGUAAGGGACAAUGCAAACUCCAGACUUCUACCAGAGCCCUCUGAGGGUUUAGAGGUUGUGACAGGGUCUGGGCACAGACUGUCAGCUCUUCUAUACAACAGAAUCAUGUUGGAGCCACCUCUGUCAGUGGACUCUUGGCACAUGGGGUGACCCUUCAGGUGCUGCUGCGUGCACCUCGCUCACCUCAUGGCAUGUGAAAAGCAGUGAUGUUGUGUUGGUUUCUGCUUUUUGGAACCAAGCUGAAGCAGAACAUGAAAUUUUGCCGGCCUGAGGGGGAGAAAGGACCCAGGAUGAGCAGCCCUGGGAACAGCUAUCCUGCCACCACAGCAGUGGUGAGUCUGUGUGUCUGGGCAGUGGGGAGCAGGGAGCACAGUGCAUAGCAAAGUGCUGACGAAGGAUCUCCUUCCCUCCUCUUGCUCUUGCCAGCUCACAUCAAGCCAAAGACACCUUGUUCCUGCAGGGGCUUGGAUAACACACCAGCCUGGGCACCCCUCUGCCUUCCACCCUCUGCAUCCAGCCUCCUGGUCCGAGGCCAACAUCCCUAUCGUGUUACCAGCCCCAUUCCCCUCCUGCGCCGGCAGUCAUGAAGUUUAGGAGAGAGAAUGUUGGAAACUGUGAAGCUGGAGCUCUAAAUAAUUGUAAAUAUGAGCAAACCAGAGAUGUGGCUGCAGGGCAAGUAUUGCCUCUGUGUGCUGUGGUUGUGACCAAACUGGGAAGUUGAAGAGAAAACACAACUUUGCAGCAGGUUGGUGGUUUGGGGUGUUUUUAUGUGUGGAGUUUGUGUGGAUUUUUUGCGGGGAGCUCAGGCAUGUACCCAGUGAGCCCAGGUCCCCAGGGCAUGGUGGUUUGAUGGCAUUGCAAGUGAUGUAGUGAUGUACAAACGUGUAUUAGUAGCAUUUUUUUAUAACUUUGUGCCAGCAACACUCUGAAUCCUUCUUCCUGGAAAAAGAGGAAAUAAUUUAACUUUUCUUUCUAAUCCAUAGAAAAUACAAGGGGAAAGUGCCCCCCUAUGCGGAUCCUGCCUGCAGAGCUGCUGUUGCACAGUUCCUGCCCCAGCACCCAGCACUGAUUCACACCUCAGGAGCCACAGCUGCACCUGUAGGUGCCACUGUGAUCCAGCUGGGCAUGAGCAGCCCUUUUGGGGGCAAGUCCUGCUGGUUCAGCUCCUUGUCUGCCAGGAGCUCCCCCAAACUCUACCUGGUGAACUCAUCUCAUCUCAUCUCAUCUCAUCUCAUCUCGGCUCAGGGGCCAUGGGGAGCCUGUGGAAAAGGGAACAUCCAGGGAACAGAGGAGCUGGUGUGGUACCAGGCUGGUACCUUGACCCAGAGGUCCCCUGAAAUGGUUUUUAGCCCUGAAGGUGCCCAGUUUGCUGGUGGUGGGGUCCUAUAAAGGCUGUCACAGCUGUGCUGGUGUCAAGUGCACCUAGGGGCAAUAGGAAAGGGGAGUCAGAUGUGAUGGGCUGAGCCUCCAGCUGAGGUCUUGUAGCACGUGUCCCUCUCUGCUUCCAGGCCAUGUACCAGGACUCAUCAUUCCCUGCUGACCCCUGUUCUGGGAGUUAUAUCUCUUCUCCUCCUUUCUGGAUGGGCUUUGCUUUUAUACCUGCUGCAUAAAGGUGUAAAUGCCCUAAGGCUCCUUGGUGCCAAAGAUGCUUCCCAAAGACUGAAGAUGCCAGGAAAGACCCCACAAAGCAAUGGGACUAUGAUAGGCGGAAACCUGCAGUUCUCCCCUUUGUCCCCGCCAGCAGCUGGGGCUGGGGUGGUCUUGGGGACAAGAGGACAGGAGGGACUGGCAAGGCCGCAGGGCCUGGCAUGUCCCGGCCUUGGCCUUUAUCACCCCCUAGUGCCACCUGCCAGGCUCAUUUGCUCCGGUGCUGUGCCAUGCACAGAGUCCAGCAGUGCCACUCACAGUGGCCCUGGAGCUUGAGGGGACCAGCUCUGGGGCAGCCACAUCCCAGAGCAGCACAGGGACUGUGGGGAAUGGGACAGGGCACAGCUGUGGGGCAGGACCCUGUUAGCCACAGGAGUGAUGACCUGAAAAUCCUGGUCAGGUAUCAGGAAGAGCCACGACAUCCAAGUGCAACAAGGAGGUAUUUUGCAUCACAGGAGCUGCGGUGAUGAUGGGGGAAGAGGAGAUGAUGGAGAGUGAGGUGAUGAAUGUGCCUUUGCUUGGCCUGAAGGGACCCAAAAGGUGACAUUUCCAUGGCUGAAAUGAGGUUGUUCUGGUGGCACUGUCACCUGAGCAAGGCUAAGGGUCCCUUGCAGCUGCGACAUUCCCGAAGGCAUGGGACAGGGUCAGCCCCUGCCUGCGAGGCCAUGGGGAUGUGCAGCCUGGCCCCAUGGAGCUGGAGAUCACCUUCGGCCAGUCCUGGGCCGCUGUCACUGAGCCCUGUGUGCACUGAGCUGUGUCCAGCCCCAGCAGGAGCCGGGGGUAGCACGCAGCCCGCGGGGCUCUGCCGCUGUGGCUUGUCCUCUGUUCUCUCCGAGUUUCCCAUCGCCCGUGGUUUGAGUAGGAAAAAGGGGCAAGAGGCUCUUCCUCACAGACUGCCUCUCCCCUCAGCCCGGCGGGGUAAGGUGUGGGAGGGAAAUGGUUAAAAAGAUAAGGUUUGGCACCACAAAAGGGCUGUGUACAGCUGUGGGUGGGGUCACAGGCGUCUCCUCGGUGCGGCUCCCCAGGGAGCUGCUUCACACCCUGCUGCAGGUGACGUGCUGUGCUCUACCUCGGGUGACCUGGCACCGCUGGGGACUGCACGUUUUGGGCUUGUUCCCAAGGUGGGGUUGGAGCCUGUACUGAUUUAGUGAGUUUCUGUUGCCCUUCAAGUUCUUCGAUGCGUUUUAGCGCUUCAGAGAAGUCCUGCAGGUGGUGCCCGGGACACAGGGCAGGCUGGGGGGCACAGGGCUGCGGUGUAUGGGGACAUACAGGGCUGGGUUUGGGGCUGUGCUCUGUGGGGCCAUGUUGGGUGGGGUCGUGUUCUGUGGGGGGCAGAGUGUGGGGCUGUGUAGCAUGAAGCCAUGAUCUGUGGGGAAUGUGGGGUGCACAGGCAGCCUCUGCUUUAUGGGGGGACCCAAGCCAUGCUGAAUCCACACCACUGCAUUGCCAACACAAGGACCUGCCCAAGCUGGGGGGGUCACACGGCAGCUGUGGGUGUUGCUGGCCACAAAACACACAUCCACUGCAACCUCCUCCAGGGCCCUGUGCUCUUACAGUCCUGGUACCAACCCCAGGGCUCUUCUCAGCAGGAAUCAGCCCACAGAAGGAGUUUGCUGCUCUCUUCUGGCUUUAGACACAUUUCGAAUGGAAGGGUUCCUCUUUUUCAAAGCGCACAGAGGGGACUGGUGCACGCACAGGGUUAAUUGGAACGAAAGCCCGUUGGGAUUUAGCAGCCCCCACCCCCCGCGCCGGGCUGGCAGCCCUGUGCCCGGGUAUUUAUAGCACCCUGAACUUUGAGCGUGUCCAGCGAGCGGGCAGAACCCGCUGCGGACGUGGGGAUAAGCUGGAGGCUGUCGGGGGUCCUGGCCCAGGCUUCAGCAAAGCAACCCAGACCAUCCAGCAGCGCAUCCCGGCCCCCUGUGCCCCACACACCCCACAGCCAGGCAGCUCGGGGCACCCAGGGACCCCCGGCUGUGGGACCCCUGUGAACGCACCUGGGUGGCCAAGGACGUGGGGUUGAGCCUCCUUCAGCCACAGCAGCAUCAUGUUCCAGAUUUUGAGCUGGCAUUCCUGGUUUCUGUAGUGGCUGAAUGCAGGUAUCUUCCCUUUUCCAUGACAAACAAUAGGCAGAGGAUCCCACGGUGUCCCGGGGCAGAUUCCUUCUCAUCAGACAACCUGCCAGCCAGUUCACCAUAUCCUGGAGAGAAAACAUCAUGUGUGGAUUCCUUACUCUGAAACUAGGCAGAGGAAAGAGAGAGUAUGGGUGGUAGGGGAUGGGAAGCCUGUGGUAAAGGGUAAAGACUUGAAAAAGACCUAAAACAAAACCAAAACCAAACACAAAAAAACCCCACCCAAAAACCAAAAAACAAACCCCAAAACUAAAUGAAACCAACCAAAAAAAAAAAAAA
ensembl:lncRNA